AUGAAGAUCGUCUUCAUCACCACCUCCGCCGCCAUCGUCUGGUACAUGCGCCGCCACCCGCAGGUGCGCCGCACCUACGACCGGGACCAGGACACCUUCCGCCACGUCUUCCUCGUCGCCGCCGCCUUCGCGCUCGCCCUCAUCUUCAACGAGCGCUUCACCCUCCGCGAGAUAUGCUGGGCAUUUUCGAUUUACCUGGAGGCAGUGGCGAUUCUACCUCAGUUAGUUCUGCUCCAGAGAAGCAGAAAUGUGGAUAACUUGACUGGACAAUAUGUUCUGUUUCUCGGGGCCUACCGCGCAUUCUACAUUCUAAACUGGAUCUACCGUUAUUUCACAGAGGGUCACCAAAGCAGAUGGAUCCCUUGGAUUGCUGGUUUGGUCCAAACUGGUCUAUACGCAGAUUUCUUCUACUACUAUUUCUUGAGUUGGAAGAACAACGUGAAGCUCGAGCUGCCCGCCUGGGCGCAUGCCUGGGGUCAUGACUGA
rnacentral:rRNA from 1 species